GAGGCAGGUAUUGAGGAUAGGAGAGUAUAUGGGUUUGGCACCAUGGGGUGGAUAGGCAAAACAAUUUGGUUGAUAAGGCGCAGAUCCUGAACUAAAUUGUAAGACUUGUCUGGUUUUAGGACAGGUAAAAUGGGGGAAUUGUAAGGAGAUUUUAUAGGUUUUAAAAGGCCAUCCUCUAGCAGCUACUGCCUUCCUCAUCAACAAAGUGCCCCUUCCUGUUGACAAGUUGGCACCUUUACCUCUGGACAACAUUCUUCCCUUUAUGGAUCCAUUAAAGCUUCUUCUGAAAACUCUGGGCAUUUCUGUUGAGCACCUUGUGGAGGGGCUAAGGAAGUGUGUAAAUGAGCUGGGACCAGAGGCUUCUGAAGCUGUGAAGAAACUGCUGGAGGCGCUAUCACACUUGGUGUGACAUCAAGAUAAAGAGCGGAGGUGGAUGGGGAUGGAAGAUGAUGCUCCUAUCCUCCCUGCCUGAAACCUGUUCUACCAAUUAUAGAUCAAAUGCCCUAAAAUGUAGUGACCCGUGAAAAGGACAAAUAAAGCAAUGAAUAC
rnacentral:lncRNA from 10 species